CAGAGCAUGCGCAGAUUGCGCACAACGUUACGCUGAACGAAAUUGCGUUACGAGCGCAUCUAGGUACGUUACAGACUUCAUAAAAAACGCUACUGGAACGAUUUAGGUCCCACAAAAUUAUUGCUGACUGACACUGAGCUUUUAAACUACAGCUUGUGGGGAUGUUGAGCUGCUCGCACUGCUUCAGUAUAGAGAGACGCCACAUCAACUGGGACAGGAACAAAAACAGACAAACAUUUCCUGCACAAUGCUUCGGUGACAGGUGCAUGCUGGGUCAUCUGACGCACCAGCAGCAGGCCAGGGCACUCCAAAACCGGUUGGAUGCGGAUGGAACUUGA
rnacentral:lncRNA from 1 species